AGAGUUUGAUCAUGGCUCAGAUUGAACGCUGGCGGAAUGCUUUACACAUGCAAGUCGAACGGCAGCACGGGGCAACCUGGUGGCGAGUGGCGAACGGGUGAGUAAUACAUCGGAACGUGCCCAAUCGUGGGGGAUAACGUAGCGAAAGUUACGCUAAUACCGCAUACGAUCUACGGAUGAAAGCGGGGGAUCGCAAGACCUCGCGCGAGUGGAGCGGCCGAUGUCAGAUUAGGUAGUUGGUGGGGUAAAGGCUCACCAAGCCAACGAUCUGUAGCUGGUCUGAGAGGACGACCAGCCACACUGGAACUGAGACACGGUCCAGACUCCUACGGGAGGCAGCAGUGGGGAAUUUUGGACGAUGGGCGCAAGCCUGAUCCAGCCAUUCCGCGUGCAGGAUGAAGGCCUUCGGGUUGUAAACUGCUUUUGUACGGAACGAAACGGCGAGCUCUAAUACAGUUUGCUAAUGACGGUACCGUAAGAAUAAGCACCGGCUAACUACGUG
rnacentral:rRNA from 1 species